rnacentral:rRNA from 1 species
ACGAACGCUGGCGGCGUGCUUAACACCUGCAAGUCGCACGGAAAGGCCCUGCUUUUGUGGGGUGCUCGAGUGGCGAACGGGUGAGUAACACGUGAGUAACCUGCCCUUGACUUUGGGAUAACUUCAGGAAACUGGGGCUAAUACCGGAUAGGAGCUCCUGCUGCAUGGUGGGGGUUGGAAAGUUUCGGCGGUUGGGGAUGGACUCGCGGCUUAUCAGCUUGUUGGUGGGGUAGUGGCUUACCAAGGCUUUGACGGGUAGCCGGCCUGGGAGGGUGACCGGCCACAUUGGGACUGAGAUACGGCCCAGACUCCUACGGGAGGCAGCAGUGGGGAAUAUUGCACAAUGGGCGGAAGCCUGAUGCAGCAACGCCGCGUGCGGGAUGACGGCCUUCGGGUUGUAAACCGCUUUCGCCUGUGACGAAGCGUGAGUGACGGUAAUGGGUAAAGAAGCACCGGCUAACUACGUG